rnacentral:rRNA from 1 species
AAGUGGAUUAGCGGCGGACGGGUGAGUAACACGUGAGUAACCUGCCUUAGACAUUGGGAUAGCCUCGGGAAACCGGGAUUAAUACCAAAUAAAAUCGUAAUGACACAUGUCAUAACGAUCAAAACUCCGGUGGUCUAAGAUGGACUCGCGUCCCAUUAGCUAGUUGGUAGAGUAAAAGCCUACCAAGGCGACGAUGGGUAGCCGGCCUGAGAGGGUGAACGGCCACAUUGGAACUGAGAAACGGUCCAA